CAAUUCCGUAACUUUUAUCUGUGGAAAUAAUAAAGAACAUUAAUAAUAAAUUUAUGGUUAGUUUAAUAAAAACCUUAUUAUAUAAUUAGAUAGACUAUUUUUCUAAUGAUUCUAAAAAUUAUGUUAGUGAUGACACGUGGCUACAAAAAGAAGCCGUAAUAUUUUUCAGUUAAUAUAUAGGGGAUCUUACUUUCUUUGUCUUAAAACUCUUUGAGGUUGCAGGGAAAAGAGUAUAUUUCAUCCCAAACAAUUUUGAUAGUACCAUAUACGAUCCAAACAACUACUCGCAGCCAAAUAUGAUGUAAAUUUGAUUAAAAUUCAAAUUAUUAUCCGAACUUAACAACAUAAAUCAAAUCCUACUUUGACCAACGGUUUGUUAGUCAACCGUUAAAUAUAUUGUUGUUUUACUUAAGAAAAUAACGUCCUAUUGUGUUUGACAAUUUUUUAAAAAAUUGCUUAGGAUAUACGAACCGGAGCAAAUAGAACCGUUAAACUCACUAAUCAUACCACUCGCCCAAGCUAUGUUUUGUUUUUAAUGAUAACAAGUAUAUUAUAUAGGUACAAUAAAUUGAAUCAUCUUCUCAAAUGAAACAUCUAUACUGAACCGUGAACAAAUUCUUUUGGUUCCAUGACGAGUCUCCAUGUUUAAUCAAUAUCAGAGCUUCUUGAAUUUUACUACUGAAUCCAAAAUCUAGCCAUUUUAAACCAAGACGUGACCACUAUGACGCUUUGGAUUUGCUCAUGGCUUCCACCACUGACCUGACGUAAUCAUCGCUGAAUCGCUCAUUCGCUUGUUUCACGGGAAUCGUCAUUUCUCAAUUUCUCUUUGUUAAACCGGUUUACGAAUUCGCAUAGAUCGGGAGCUCGUUUGAACUCACGGCGGCUCAACCAGUGACGAACCGGAGAUGGGUUAAGCAAAUAGUGAUCCCACAACUAUGCGCUUCCAACACCAUCAGAGACGCAAAUGGUUAACACAAAUAAAGCACCUGAGCUAAGUGAGCGGGAUGAGUGGUGGAGCAUCAGUGAGGACAUUUAUAUGGAUAAACGUAAAUACAGGGCCGGUUCUGGGCAAAGCCUAACGAAACAUUGGCCUUAGGUUUCCAAAAAUUUGUAACGACCCGGAUUUCUUGAACCAUAGUCUUCUUUUAUUUUUUUUAUAUUAAUUUCCCAAACCAUUCGUUAAACCAAGUUUGGUUUAAUUAUUUAAGAAAAGUAUAAACCAUUCGGUCUUUUACCUUCUCACUUCCUCCCGUGUGUAUGGGCUAUUAUAUAUUACCUAAUAAUAUAUAUGUAUCAUCUUCUUCCUCUCAAGGCAGCCGCCUCCUCCAUCCAAGCUUCUUUGAUCUCCCAUGAUAUCUCUUUCUUGAUCUCUAAUCCUUUUAAUUGAGCUCGUGUGCUUGGCCAUCGGAGAAGAUGUGACGCAUCCACCUUCUUCAACCACCACCAGCCACUGUCAUUGGAGGAGAGCCACUGUCGCUGGAGAAUCACCGUUGGAGAGCACCGGAGAUAUCUCCACGCUUUGUCAGUGAUGUGACGGUGAACCGAGAUGAGGUAACACGAACCCGCAUUGGAACCACGACGUUCGCCACCACCAACCAUCACGGGCACCGAUCUAUACCACCUCCUGCCGCGAACCACUGGGGUGACUCCUCUCAUUUCACCGUAAAGCCGCACUCUGGUAGGCGGAGCCACCGUCAUCAACCGUAAGCCUCAUGCGUAUGAUUAAGUUGUCCCCUUUUUUCUCGUUACUUGAUUAACAAGUAUAAUUGUCAUAAACCCUAUUUAUAUUUUAUUUUAGUUAUGCCUCUUGCCUUGUGUUUGUUUCUUUCCGAUCUGGUGUGAUGCGGGCGAGACGUCGAGAGCUAAGGCAAAACCCUAGUUUUCUUGUUGUUCAAGUUAUGUCGUUAUCUUCUAUCUGUUUCCGGCUCUCCGAUAUGGCAAAGGUUCUCUGAUCCUUCUACUUAGGCCUGACGUUCGAGGACCAGAUUCGGAUCAGAUCAGAUACGGCUCGAGUUCUUCGGUUCGGUUCACUUCGGAUUUCAGAUUUUUCCCCAGCCGACUUCUACUAGUGGUCUCUCCACACUUCUUUGUUCACCAUAUACGCGGAACCUGGAUUGGCUCUGCCAUAAGACUUUUCAGAGGCUGUUACCUUCUUCAAGAAUAUAUCCAAGUGUCGGGUGAGUUCAUGAAUUAGUUCACGCAGCGCCUUGGGGGUAUCAAACACUAUAGGGAUCGUUCUUCUGUUGGUGGUAUACCAUGUUUGGACUCUGAUCAUUUUUGUCUCAUAAUCACAUUCCUCUUCCAUCUCCAAGAACAUAUUUGAUGUUCCUUUGUUCUAGAAAUAUGAGUACGGGAACGGAGACAAGAAAUAACAAAAAUAAAAUUCUAUAGAUAUGGGUGCAGCAUAUAUAUAUCAAUAACAUAUAUAUAAAUACUCAUAUAUUGAAAAUAAAAGUAAAUACACUAUAUAUCUUCAUAUAAAAACACUUUAAUAUAAUAUUUUUAAAUAAUGAUAAUAAGAAAAAUAAUUAUUAAACCAUUUAUAAUUAGAUUAUUAAACCAUAUUUAUAAGAAAAUUGUAAGUGAAUUAGAUUAGAGCAUCUCUAAUGAUAAUCUACUUUUUCCUCUAAUCACCAAAUAUAGAGUAAAAAUCAUUCAAUUGGUACACCAAAUCUUACACCAAAUAUAGAGAGAUGAAUAGUUUCACUCCAAAUAUAGAGUAACACUAUUCAUUUACUCUAUUUUUGGAGUUCAACCCUUUCUUUACAAAAUCAUCCUUCAAUUUUUAUAAAUUUUCAUUUUGACCUAAAUAUAAUUAUAUGUUAUAUCUAUGUACAUUUAAAUAUUGUAAAAUUAAUUAUUAAAUUGGGUUAAAUUAAGAUGCAAUAAUAACUUGUAUUAGAUUAGAAAAUAAAAUUUAAUAAACUAAAAAUACAUAAGCAAUAACAAAAACAUAAAAGAUACAAACUUAUCAUAGCACAUCAUUAUGAUUUAAUACUCUAGUAGAUCCUUUCCAGAUCCACCAAAAUCAUUAAAGUUGAUCUACUUCUUUCGAAUACCUAGUAGAAUGAGAAAAACGCUCAGACAUUACUGUUAAGAAAAUAUGUACGUGUAUAGAAAAUUAUGAAAUGAGUUGUGAAUGGAAAUGAAGAUGCAUAUGCUAUUUAUAUAAGUAAUUAUUAUAUACACAUU